rnacentral:rRNA from 1 species
UACGAAGGGGGCUAGCGUUGCUCGGAAUCACUGGGCGUAAAGCGCACGUAGGCGGAUUCUUAAGUCAGGGGUGAAAUCCUGGAGCUCAACUCCAGAACUGCCUUUGAUACUGGGAAUCUCGAGUCCGGGAGAGGUGAGUGGAACUGCGAGUGUAGAGGUGAAAUUCGUAGAUAUUCGCAAGAACACCAGUGGCGAAGGCGGCUCACUGGCCCGAUACUGACGCUGAGGCACGAAAGCGUGGGGAGCAAACAGG